GACGAACGCUGGCGGCGUGCUUUAUACAUGCAAGUCGAACGAUGAAGUUCCUUCGGGAAUGGAUUAGUGGCGAACGGGUGAGGAACACGUGAGAAACCUGCCUUUCAUUCUGGGAUAACACCGGGAAACCGGUGCUAAUACCGGAUACUCCGUCUUGGCGGCAUCGCCGAGCCGGGAAAAAAUUUUGAUGAAAGAUGGUCUCGCGGCCUAUCAGCUAGUUGGUGAGGUAAAGGCUCACCAAGGCGACGACGGGUAGCCGGCCUGAGAGGGCGACAGGCCACACUGGGACUUGGACACGGCCCAGACUCCUUAGGGAGGCAGCAGUAGGGAAUAUUGGGCAAGGGGCGCAAGCCUGACCCAGCGACGCCGCGUGAGGGAUGAAGGUCUUCGGAUUGUAACCCUCUUUCAGUAGGGAAGAAGCGAAAGUGACGGUACCUAAAGAAGAAGCACCGGCUAACUAUGUGCCAGCAGCCGCCGUAA
rnacentral:rRNA from 1 species